rnacentral:rRNA from 1 species
AGUGAACGCUGGCGGUAGGCCUAACACAUGCAAGUCGAACGGCAGCACAGUAAGAGCUUGCUCUUACGGGUGGCGAGUGGCGGACGGGUGAGGAAUACAUCGGAAUCUACUUUUUCGUGGGGGAUUACGUAGGGAAACUUACGCUAAUACCGCAUACGACCUACGGGUUAAAGCAGGGGAUCUUCGGACCUUGCGCGAUUGAAUGAGCCGAUGUCGGAUUAGCUAGUUGGCGGGGUAAAGGCCCACCAAGGCGACGAUCCGUAGCUGGUCUGAGAGGAUGAUCAGCCACACUGGAACUGAGACACGGUCCAGACUCCUACGGGAGGCAGCAGUGGGGAAUAUUGGGCAAUGGGCGAAAGCCUGAUCCAGCAAUACCGCGUGGGUGAAGAAGGCCUUCGGGUUGUAAAGCCCUUUUGUUGGGAAAGAAGAGAAGCAGGUUAAUACCCCGCUGUUCUGACGGUACCCAAAGAAUAAGCACCGGCUAACUUCGUG